CAUGGGUGCAGGCUUGUGCGUUUUGGGGGGGGGGGGUUGGAGGCCCGCGCUAAACGGGAAUACGGUUGCUCCUCGGCCAUAUCUCGGCUCGUCCCUUUUGCUGUUAAACAUGUUCCCGUAACGUGGAACAGAGCCCAACGUGAUCGUCCGGGCUGAAGGAGGAUUUGUUCUGCUCAUGACACGAGCUGAAUGCAAAUGACCCUCCGCGCUGCGCUCCUUCAUUUGGGAUUCAGAAGCAGCUGUGACGACCUCAUCAGUGAGAUGGAGCUGACUCCCGAGACGGAGAUGAGACAAAACCACAGACCUCCAAACGAGGACGGUCUGGAGUCAUCUGUGAAUCAAAGCUAAUAGUUGAAGAGAGUUGCAACACUUCUGCCGGCUGUUGCCUCAGUCUGUCACUGGACGGAGAAGAUCACAUCGUCGACGUUAUGGACAAAGAAAAAUACCCACAGUGGACAUUAUUAUGUUUUUCCCUUGCAGAAUCGCCCCACUCCUGCGUCUGCAAACACUGCACUUGGGAGCAUUGAAAAGAGCUGACUGCCCUCAAACACAUGCGGUGCACUUUCCAGGAAAACACACAAAGAACUCUGUAACGUGAAACGAAAGCUGACAGCGGCGAUCUCAAAACGCAACGUGACGUUGUGUCGGCCAGUACACCGGUUUUCCCCUCGGCUUUUCUUGCAUUUGUCCACAGAAAAACACACCUCAUUAUCUUUCGCAGAGUAAAUGAUGUAGAUCACGUUGAACGUUUUCGUUUAAUUUAAAUAAACGGAUAAAUACAUACAGUG